GAAAAAAAUCGAAAGAACCUGUCACUCCAGUCCAGUACCCUCAUCGUUUGCAGCGUGGGCAAGUGACGUAUAAUGCAAGUUGGCGCAAAAUAAGGUCCGAACAAAGCUAUCAUGUGAGGGGAUCCAGCGUUAAGGAACAGUCUGUAAAGACUGGCUCUUCUGUAGGCAGAGACCUGACACCAGACGCUGCUGCCCGGUGAAUGGAAAUUGCUCAGCUUCAGCCUCAGAGCAUCCUUGUGGGGAUUUUGUGAUGCUGCGGGUUUUCACAGAUUCCGAGGAGAACUUCAAGGAGAAUUUGAGUAUAAAUUCAGUUCUGCCUCUCACUCUCAUCCUCACCCAUCCGGAACACGGGAAUGUCCCACUUUAGACCCAGAGAAGAGCUAGCGGCGUCUCCAGGCAAGGAGCUGGAGGCACAGAAGCUAAGGCCAAGGUCAUGACCGCCCACUCCGCUUCUGAAGGAGGUGGCAGCUAGGCGCCGCCCUCUGUCUGACCCAGGAGCUGAUCUGGACGUUGCCUUGGACCGCUGAGAUCUGGAGCAAUGCUAGGGGAAGGAGGGAGAGCUACUGCUGACCAGCCCUUGAUCCUCUGGAAGCUGAAGCUCACUGAGUGCCUUUUAGGAAUUGUCCUGAAAGGAAGAUCAACUGUUAAGCACAGCUGCACUUGGAAAGGCGCUCCCUGGCGCUACUUCUUUUCCUGUUAGAGAUUUUUGAGAGGCCUGAAUCCUAACCUUUCUGUCUCCUCAACUCCAGGAACCCGAUCUAAUUGUCCACCACCUCAGCAGCCUGUCUUCGGUGGCUUAGGGUGAUGG
ensembl:processed_transcript Gm12676 predicted gene 12676